rnacentral:rRNA from 1 species
UACGUAGGGUGCGAGCGUUGUCCGGAAUUAUUGGGCGUAAAGAGCUCGUAGGCGGUGUGUCACGUCGGCCGUGAAAACCUGCAGCUUAACUGUGGGCUUGCGGUCGAUACGGGCAUCACUGGAGUUCGGCAGGGGAGACUGGAAUUCCUGGUGUAGCGGUGAAAUGCGCAGAUAUCAGGAGGAACACCGGUGGCGAAGGCGGGUCUCUGGGCCGACACUGACGCUCAUGCACGAAAGCGUGGGGAGCAAACAGG